rnacentral:rRNA from 1 species
CGUGGGGAGCAAACAGGAUUAGAUACCCUGGUAGUCCACGCCGUAAACGAUGUCAACUAGCCGUUGGAAUCCUUGAGAUUUUAGUGGCGCAGCUAACGCAUUAAGUUGACCGCCUGGGGAGUACGGCCGCAAGGUUAAAACUCAAAUGAAUUGACGGGGGCCCGCACAAGCGGUGGAGCAUGUUCUCGGUUUUGAACAGGCCCGAGAACGUGUUCGAGCAUUUGCACGCGGCCGACAUUGAGCGCCAUGAGGCAGGCCAUCAGCGGUUUCGGUGUGGGGUGACCAUGCAUGCACAGCAGCCCUUCCAGCAGUUUUUGAUUUUUGUAGCCUAGCUGCCGGGUGAGGAAGUCAGCACCCGCACCGAGCUUUUUCUCAACCUCAAGAUACUGCGCAGCCCCUUUUUCGUAGCGAUACGAAGACGGCGUCAAGCCAUAUCCGAACAGCCAGUAAAAUCGCGCCUGCCGUGCGGUCUUCAUCACCCCGCCGC